rnacentral:rRNA from 1 species
AGGGUUUGAUCCUGGCUCAGGACGAACGCUGGCGGCAUGCCUAACACAUGCAAGUCGAACGAGAAAGUUCCUUCGGGAGCAAUUAAAGUGGCGCACGGGUGAGUAACGCGUAGACAAUCUGCCCUUCAGUCUGGGACAACUUUUCGAAAGGAGAGCUAAUACCGGAUAACAAUGCAUGACACAAGUUGUAUAUUUGAAAGCUUUAUGUGCUGAAGGAGGGGUCUGCGUCCCAUUAGCUAGUUGGUAAGGUAAAGGCUUACCAAGGCAACGAUGGGUAGCGGGUUUGAGAGGACGAUCCGCCACACUGGAACUGAGACACGGUCCAGACUCCUACGGGAGGCAGCAGUGGGGAAUAUUGCUACNAAUGGAGGCAACUCUGAUGCAGCUAAUGUCGCGUGAGUGAAGAAGGCCCUUGGGUCGUAAAGCUCUUUUAUGGGGGAAGAUGAUGACGGUACCCCAAGAAUAAGCACCGGCUAACUAUGUGCCAGCAGCCGCGGUAAUACAUAGGGUGCGAGCGUUGUUCG